rnacentral:rRNA from 1 species
GACGAACCACACGAACGUUAUUCGGAAUUACUGGGCUUAAAGGGCGCGUAGGCGGGCCGGCAAGUCAGGGGUGAAAUCCCACGGCUCAACCGUGGAAGUGCCUUUGAUACUGCCGGUCUGGAGGGAGGUAGGGGCGUGCGGAACUUCCGGUGGAGCGGUGAAAUGCGUAGAUAUCGGAAGGAACACCGGUGGCGAAAGCGGCGCGCUGGACCUCUACUGACGCUGAGGCGCGAAAGCCAGGGGAGCAAACGGG